rnacentral:rRNA from 1 species
UUUUCGGAUCGUAAACCUCUUUCGAUGGAGCAAUCUAGAGAAGAAGCCACGGCUAACUCCGUGCCAGCAGCCGCGGUAAUACGGAGGUGGCGAGCGUUACUCGGAUUUAUUGGGUGUAAAGGGCAGGUAGGCGGCUAUGUAAGUUGGAGGUGAAAUCCUUUGGCUCAACCAAAGAACUGCCUUCAAAACUACAUAGCUUGAGGUUGGAAGAGGAGAGCGGAAUUCCCGGUGUAAGGGUGAAAUCUGUAGAUAUCGGGAGGAACACCAGUGGCGAAGGCGGCUCUCUGGUCUGGCCCUGACGCUGAACUGCGAAAGCUAGGGGAGCAAACAGGAUUAGAUACCCUGGUAGUCCUAGCCGUAAACGAUGAGCACUAGGUGUUGGGAGAUAAUUCUUUCAGCGCCGUAAGAUAACUCGUUAAGUGCUCCACCUGGGGACUACGACCGCAAGGUUAAAACUCAAAGGAAUUGACGGGGGCCCGCACAAGCGGUGGAACAUGUGGUUCAAUUCGACGCUACGCGAAGAACCUCACCAGGGCUU